CCCAUUGACAAACUCGCGCUGUGCCGUAGACGGGGGCCCUCAGAGCAUUCUCUGAAAGCAAGUUUUCGCUGAGAGAACCAUCUGCACCUGGUGAAAAAUGGCCCACUGAAACAGGAGAGCCUUCUCAUCUGGGUCAUGGACAUGAGAUGGAAGAAGGAGGAGAAAAGAUUGAAAAAGUGACUUGACCUGCCAUUUCUUGGAAGUUGGAGAAAGAGGUUCAUGAGACAAAGAACAAGGGUGACCUCUAGAAGCUAGGAACAACACUUAGCUGAUAGCCAACAAGGAAAUGGGACCGCAAUCCUGCAAAUGCAGGGAACUGGAUUCUGCCAACACCCUAAAUGAGCAAGGAAGCAUAAACUCCCCUAAAGCCUCUAGAAAGGGACACAUUCUUAAAAGCAGGGCACUCUGCUUUUAACCUAAUACAAUCCAUGUCAGAUUUCUGAUGUACAGAAUUAUAAGAUAAUAAGGUUUGUUGUUUAAUUCACUAAGUGUUGGUAAUUUGUUAUGAAAUUAAAAGAACCAAUUAAAAAACUUCCUUUAGCAGUUAUUUUAGCACACUUAUUUGACAACAAAUUCUAUUGGUUUUCUUUUGUAAAUAUGUCUUUAUUUUUCUCUUUUUCGAAGAAUAUUUUCACUGACUGGAGAAUUCUUAACUGAAGGAUUGUUUCAGCUCUUUGAAGAUGUUGUUCCAAUUUCUGUUGGCCUUCAUGGUUUUCAUGAGAAGUCAGCUGUUAGAUUGUUUCCCUUUAUGUAAUGUAAUUUUCUUUUGCUGGUUAUAAAAGUUGCCCUUUAUAAAAUAGUAAACUCAUUAAACAUUUGACAACA